rnacentral:rRNA from 1 species
UACGUAGGGUGCGAGCGUUAAUCGGAAUUACUGGGCGUAAAGCGUGCGCAGGCGGUUCGUUGUGUCGGUGGUGAAAGCCCCGGGCUUAACCUGGGAAUGGCCAUGGAAACUGGCGAACUGGAGUGUGGCAGAGGGGGGUGGAAUUCCGCGUGUAGCAGUGAAAUGCGUAGAGAUGCGGAGGAACACCGAUGGCGAAGGCAGCCCCCUGGGCUAGCACUGACACUGAGGAACGAAAGCCAGGGGAGCAAACGGG